GACGAACGCUGGCGGCGUGCUUAACACAUGCAAGUCGAACGGAAAGGCCCUGCUUUUGUGGGGUGCUCGAGUGGCGAACGGGUGAGUAACACGUGAGUAACCUGCCCUUGACUUUGGGAUAACUUCAGGAAACUGGGGCUAAUACCGGAUAGGAGCUCCUGCUGCAUGGUGGGGGUUGGAAAGUUUCGGCGGUUGGGGAUGGACUCGCGGCUUAUCAGCUUGUUGGUGGGGUAGUGGAUUACCAAGGCUUUGACGGGUAGCCGGCCUGCGAGGGUGACCGGCCACAUUGGGACUGAGAUACGGCCCAGACUCCUACGGGAGGCAGCAGUGGGGAAUAUUGCACAAUGGGCGGAAGCCUGAUGCAGCAACGCAGCGUGCGGGAUGACGGCCUUCGGGUUGUAAACCGCUUUCGCCUGUGACGAAGCGUGAGUGACGGUAAUGGGUAAAGAAGCACCGGCUAACUACGUG
rnacentral:rRNA from 1 species